rnacentral:rRNA from 1 species
GUAGGUGGCAAGCGUUGUCCGGAAUUAUUGGGGCGUUAAAGCGCGCGCAGGCGGUUCUUUAAGUCUGAUGUGAAAGCCCACGGGCUCAACCGUGGAGGGUCAUUGGAAACUGGAGAACUUGAGUACAGAAGAGGAAAGCGGAAUUCCACGUGUAGCGGUGAAAUGCGUAGAGAUGUGGAGGAACACCAGUGGCGAAGGCGGCUUUCUGGUCUGUAACUGACGCUGAGGCGCGAAAGCGUGGGGAGCAAACAGGAUUAGAUACCCUGGUAGUCCACGCCGUAAACGAUGAGUGCUAAGUGUUAGGGGGUUUCCGCCCCUUAGUGUUUUUCUGCAGCUAACGCAUUAAGCACUCCGCCUGGGGAGUACGGCCGCAAGGCUG